rnacentral:rRNA from 1 species
UACAGAGGGGGCAAGCGUUGUUCGGAAUUACUGGGCGUAAAGCGCACGUAGGCGGAUUGUUAAGUUAGGGGUGAAAUCCCAGGGCUCAACCCUGGAACUGCCUUUAAUACUGGCAAUCUAGAGUCCGAGAGAGGUGAGUGGAAUUCCGAGUGUAGAGGUGAAAUUCGUAGAUAUUCGGAGGAACACCAGUGGCGAAGGCGGCUCACUGGCUCGGUACUGACGCUGAGGUGCGAAAGCGUGGGGAGCAAAC